GAUGAACGCUGGCGGCGUGCCUAAUACAUGCAAGUCGAGCGAACGGACGAGAAGCUUGCUUCUCUGAUGUUAGCGGCGGACGGGUGAGUAACACGUGGAUAACCUACCUAUAAGACUGGGAUAACUUCGGGAAACCGGAGCUAAUACCGGAUAAUAUUUUGAACCGCAUGGUUCAAAAGUGAAAGACGGUCCUGCUGUCACUUAUAGAUGGAUCCGCGCUGCAUUAGCUAGUUGGUAAGGUAACGGCUUACCAAGGCAACGAUGCAUAGCCGACCUGAGAGGGUGAUCGGCCACACUGGAACUGAGACACGGUCCAGACUCCUACGGGAGGCAGCAGUAGGGAAUCUUCCGCAAUGGGCGAAAGCCUGACGGAGCAACGCCGCGUGAGUGAUGAAGGUCUUCGGAUCGUAAAACUCUGUUAUUAGGGAAGAACAUAUGUGUAAGUAACUGUGCACAUCUUGACGGGACCUAAGCAGAAAGCCACGGAGAACUACGU
rnacentral:rRNA from 1 species